CUGGUUAACUACUUCUGUUUAUCGAGUGGAUGCACGACACAGGGCCAAUGAAGGGACAGUGGAGCCUGUAUGGAAGAGGGAGACCCCGGACCAUAAUCUGCUAGGGCCCUUCCGUGGCCCUUCACACUGCUUGGGAGAAACAGCCAUUGACCAGAGGGGGGCCUCCACACCAGCAUCGAAGCCACCCAUCAAAGAUAAGCCGUCCAUAGCCCAACAAAUUCCUGUGCUGCCACCCUUGACAGAGACCAGGCCCACGAGAGAAAAGACAAACCAUUGCAUCAAUGCCAGCCAUUUUGGGGAAGCCAGCACGCCGUUGCUGCCAAUGAAUACACCGUCAGUGGAGGAGCAGCCGCCAGCGAGACCAGCGAGUGGGAGCUCAUGGACACCAAGCAGCUUUGGCAAGACCAGGCACAAGAUCCUGUCCUUUCCCUGGUCCCGUCCUGGGUGGGGAUGGGUCAGCAACCGCCCUGGACUGCCUUCUUAGCUCUGGAUCUCAAAACCAAAGCUCUCCAUUCCCAGUGGCCCAUGCAGAAAAAGCUGCUGUAUCAACGUUGGCAGGGUCCUGAGGGUCUAACCCCCUGGCUAAACCCCGCAAGCGUCUACUCACAGUAACCGCGUCAACUCCCGGCAUACCUUAGAAACUUAAUGUUGCAGGUGUGGGUCAAGGGGACUGACAAUCCACCUGAUGGGGGCUAUGUGAGGUGUAGCGGGAGUGAUGUGUGAAUAACUGUGUACUUCCUUGUUGUGUUAAUUAUGUGGUGUCUCCCAGUGUUCCAUGUGCGAAUGUUGAUGUCUUCAGAAUUCUAAAUUAGAGUUAUUGGUGUUAUCCCUUUCUGUGGAUGUCUACAUGCAUUUUUAGUUAGCACUUAAGAGUCAGUGUGUUGUGUAUAUGCCCUAGUAUGAUUUCCCUGGUGUUCCAGCACAGCUGCCUACCCUGAGCCUGUAAGAUGUGUCUGCUUGUGUAAGCCUACUUCAUUUGCCACUCUGUAUCUAGGCUUGUGCCUUUUGUUCUGCAAUUGCCUUAACCCUGACAUGAUUGAUGAGAAAAGGCUAUUGAAUUCAUUAAUCUCAGCAUUGUGCUUAAAAGUGAAGAAAGUCAACCCCUUAUACCUCAUGCAUGUAAUCAAUGUAUGCAAGGACAACAACAUUUGACAAUAGUAGAAACGCUGUUAAAAUAUGGCUUAUAUAGUUUUUAUUUAUCAAAAUGCUCUAACUGGUUUAUUUUUCAACAAAUACCAUUGCAAAAUAUCUCAGAAGAGAACAGGAUAUGAAAAUAUAUGGUGCUAAGGUAAACAAGAUAGGGAUAGUAUUGAGAAUUCAAUACAAGGUCGCCUAAAGGUAGCUGCAAUCUUGCAGUAACAAAAACAAUGUAAAGCUAAUAGCAGCAAAUUCCUACUAGGCACUACCUCUCAAUGUAAUUUCCCACUCAUUGCAAAUACUUUCAAUAAACCCCUUAGUGUCUUGGUAAAAUUUCAGUCAGAUUUAAAAUGUAUGCUACAGUUUUCAGUCAUUCCAAAUGUCCCCCCUUAAUGAUACUGAUACACAGCAGAAAAGGACAGAUUCACAAAGACAGUACCGAAUGGUGUCAUAUCUGAAAUCAUCACUGUAGAAAAUUUAAUCUCAGAAAAGAUGACAAAUUAGUGUAAUUAUAUGGACACCAUGACCAUCUAUGUGUCAAGAUCAAGAUGACUUUUUACGCUUGAGUCACAUAAAAUUUGAAUACAAUUUAAGAGCUCCCAGUCAUGUCUGGCUCCAAUAUCAGUAUCAAUAUCAUAUCAGUGUUUUAUAGAUGUAAUAUAUGAAAGACCAAUAGAAAAUAUAUCAACAAACAGAAUAGAAAACAUAAUAGAAGUGUAAAAA